UACGAAGGGGGCUAGCGUUGCUCGGAAUCACUGGGCGUAAAGGGUGCGUAGGCGGGUCUUUAAGUCAGGGGUGAAAUCCUGGAGCUCAACUCCAGAACUGCCUUUGAUACUGAGGAUCUUGAGUUCGGGAGAGGUGAGUGGAACUGCGAGUGUAGAGGUGAAAUUCGUAGAUAUUCGCAAGAACACCAGUGGCGAAGGCGGCUCACUGGCCCAUACUGACGCUGAGGCACGAAAGCGUGGGGAGCAAACAGG
rnacentral:rRNA from 1 species